rnacentral:rRNA from 1 species
AACGAACGCUGGCGGCAGGCUUAACACAUGCAAGUCGAGCGCCCCGCAAGGGGAGCGGCAGACGGGUGAGUAACGCGUGGGAAUCUACCCAUCUCUACGGAAUAACGCAUGGAAACGUGUGCUAAUACCGUAUACGUCCUUCGGGAGAAAGAUUUAUCGGAGAUGGAUGAGCCCGCGUUGGAUUAGCUAGUUGGUGGGGGAAAGGCCUACCAAGGCGACGAUCCAUAGCUGGUCUGGGAGGAUGAUCAGCCACACCGGGACUGAGACACGGCCCAGACUCCUACGGGAGGCAGCAGUGGGGAAUAUUGGACAAUGGGCGCAAGCCUGAUCCAGCCAUGCCGCGUGAGUGAUGAAGGCCCUAGGGUUGUAAAGCUCUUUUACCGGUGAAGAUAAUGACGGUAACCGGAGAAGAAGCCCCGGCUAACUUCGUGCCAGCCGCCGCCGUAAGAC